ensembl:lncRNA
AUGAUCUGGGCCUGCCGUAAACAAGCAGGUGGUCCCAGUCACAGCCAGAGUCGAAAGACUGGUGUCUCUCAUAUCAGGGCUCCUGAAACCAGUGCGGAAAUGACCAGUGACUUUCCUUCCGUUACUGCAGAGUCCUUCCUUCAAGAGCUUAAAAGCUCACUGUUUGAGGAAAUACAUGAGGAUGAAACGGUACUUCAAGCCUCAACAGACUGGUCGACCCGAAAGAGCCUCAUAUCAGGGUGGUGGGAGAAAGAGAGACCCCGACUGGUCAACACCAUGGUGGCUGGACAACAUGCGGCAACUCGGAUCUGCCAACAUUGUGGAAAUGGUCCAGCCGUAAUCCGUUGUUGUGACUGCCGACCACACCCAUUCCUCUGUGGCCAGUGUGAUGUCAGGGUCCACCGAGGUCAAGUGUUCCACAACAGGGAUUCGAUGACACAUGCAUUCUUUCAUCCAUUGCCUCCCACAACUUGUGUUGUGGAGAGGGUUCUAACCCAGUGUGGUAAGUUGUAGUUUUUAAAAGUCACAUUCUUAGACUUGACUGAAAAACUGAUAGGUCGAUGAAGCAGUCAAGUACAUCUUGUUUAAAAUAGUUGCCAGUAAAUAAAUGUUAUUUUUUAAUGCUUAUCCAUGUGUUUUUUGUUUUUUAAGAGCGUCUUGUACCUUUGGAGAUGCCAGAGACAAUAUGCGGUUGUCUACGAGUAUCGUCCAGUGUCAUCGCAGGACAGUCCAUAGUUGUGGUUACAAUGAAUG